rnacentral:lncRNA from 1 species
UAUAUAUAGAUUACAUCACACCGAACAUGUCAGGUUGCCGUCGCUUUAGUGAUUAAUAAUACUCGGGGCUGCGACUAACGUUAAGUCUUUAAAAUGUCACACAACUGAGAAAAAAUGCUCAUCAAGCGAUCCCGAGUGCUUCGUCGUACUUGUUUGGGUUUCUCGAAACAUCAGCUGAUGUCUUCAAAGUGCUUCUCUCGUCAGACCAGCGUUUGAAAACCCCCCAAAAGCUCCUCACUUAACGUCACAAAUAAAAUAAAAAAACAGCAAAUCCUGGAAUAAUCAAUACUUAAUAUAAUAUCUCGGGUACAUUUUUAAGAUUUAAGUUUAGUGGUUUUAAUCGUCAAGAGAAGGCAUGUCCACCAAUCCAGGUCCAUCCGGGUCAGAUCAAACCUAAAGAACAGACGUGACCCGGUUUGAAGACACUGUACCCGAUCAAACACUUUAAAGUCAUGUUCAACUGACAACACAUUCAGGGGAUGCUGUAAAAAAAACGAGAGGCUACAAAAAGCUGAAACGUACGAAGACAGUUUAAGAGCCUUGUGAGAAUACAUUACAGAGACCCGGUAGUGUUUCUACUCCACUAUGAUGAUUCACAGCAUUUCUGGCCUUGAGUUGGUUCUGACUGGUCGCAGGUACACAAGACAACACACCGGGUGUGUGUGAGAGCGUGUCGACUUUUUUUGCAAACCUACAUUUCAUCGCUGUUAAACGCCUUGGAAGACUCGACUCUUAAAAAAAAAAAAAGGGAGAAGGCAGGUGCUCGGUGCAGCGUGUCAGCGUGCGUGCGGCAGUCUGGCGUGACUGCAAUGUUUACUGGGCUCUCUUUGCGACAGCAGGAUUGUGUCAAUAAAAUCUCGGCAGGAAGGAUCGCGCUCCCACAAACAGCCUCCCCUCCUCCUAAAGUGCUCAGUCGCUAAAACUACAAUGCGCCUGCGGUUGUCGCAGUCACGCAACGUUCCCUCCUCGCCACCUCGCUGCCUUAUUAUUAUGUCUUUUAUUUCUUUUUGGUUAACGUCUCUGUCGUUCUUUCUGUCGUACAUCAAGGACGACCUAAUUCGCUCGUUCGUUUGAGAGCGGGUGCGGAUUUGUCGGGGAUGUAAAACAGCGGAGGGGAACAAAGGCAGUGCG